CCCUAUUCCCUUGCCAUUUCAGUGUUUUUCCCUUAUUUGGUGCUAUGUUACGGAGUGACUUAUGUACUUGCCUAAACAUGGAAAGUACCCCGCUUUGAUUCUGUCCAAAUAUAUGUUUGUCUCUUGAAUCUGGACAACCUUGAGUCCAAGCACGUUAUUUCGUAAUGAUUCUCUCAUAUCUCGUUGAUUCGCACUAAACCUUAAAGGUUAGGGUUCUGGAUUUUUUUUGAAUCGAACCUAAACUAGUUCAAACUAUGAUUUCUAGAAUUUUUCCGUCUAUAUUCAUUCUAUUACUUGUGAAUCUGCUUAUUUUUGUUGACUCCCUUCACUUACCUAAUUUAGGGUUUCAGACCCUUUUACUUGAACCAAAUCUGGUUCGAUUCUAGGUUUUCUUUUGAAUAAUUUCUUAUCUACGUCUAUUUUUAUGUUAAUAUGUGAUUCUUGCCUUUAUUUUCUGUCAGUUUUGUGGUUUACCUAACUUAGGGUUUCAGACCCUUUUAAUUGAACCAAAUCUGGUUCGAUUCAGUAUUCCUUUUUUAUUUUAUUUGUAAUAAUCUCUUGUCUAUUCAUUAUAUGCCUAUGUGAUUCUUUACCUUAUUUCCUACUGAUUUUGUGUAUCUUCACCUAAAAUUUGGGGUUUCAAUCCUACUGAUUUGAGCACUUUCCUUUUAAUAUUUUAAUUAGCUUUUUCUAUGCUCUAGUCUCAGCACUAUUUAAACCCCUCUCUACUCCCCUUUGAUAAAAAAUGGAGAAGAUUCAGAGCUCAAAAAAUCUUUUCACUACUAUAUACCAAAAGUUGUGUACUCUUGCUCUCUCUUGAGCAAUAAUAUUCUGUGUUUUGAUUCUUGGCCGGCUGAAAGCCAAGGCCAACAAUCUUUUUGCUUUCGUUUGGUGCUAUUUGCUAUACUGUUGGAUUCCUUUUCCUUGUUCAUCUUAACUGGUGAGUUAUUGAAUCUUCUGCCCCUUUCAUUAUGAUUAUUUGCUCAAUGUGUUACUGCCAUUAGGCCAUGUUACCCUAAAUGCUAUUACUUGUGGUUAAGACAUGUCGAACUUAGUUUGAAUUGAUUAAUGAAAUUUGCCUAAUUCUAUGUUAUUGAGGACUAUCUUUUAGAGUUAAACAUGCUUUCAUCAUAUACCAUCCUCCGACUGCCCGACAAUAGUGCCACCAUAUAAUGGACAUCUAAAAUCCUCCCCCGCUCCUCCGAGCUUAUGACAUUCUUAUCAAAACCAAAUCGCAACCUUGAUCUUCAACUUCCAAUUUCCAUACCACUCACCGCACUUAUCAUGCCGCUAUGCGAUAAUACAUGUAUUCACCAUAACCCUUGAACUACUAGUAGAAUUAAACACUUCAGUGGAUAGAAACCUUCCAUUUAGCAUCAUUCCAAAAGGACCAAUGCAACAUACAACCAAAUUUCUAAAUCGUAGAAAAACACAACCUUAAACCACGAUCUAAACUGUCAUAACUCUUCCAAAAUCCAUUUACCCAAUAAAGCCAUUUGAAUCAACUACCUCCCAAAUCAAUCAGUUAUUGGUGGCUGUCAAGCCUGCACGUAUAACCACAAAUCACAUGUUAUAUCUUCACACACCGAAUGAACCGACCAUUGCCACAAUCACGCUGAUCCAACCAUUACAACUGACCCAACUUCUUUAAAUUUACCCUUGAUAUGCCUUAAAAAUAACGUUAGCUCCAUUCACAACAUAUCAAACUCAAUAUGCACUUAUCCCGAGUGACCCAAAUCGUGAGACUACAUCAUCUCAAUACCCAUGAAUCACCUCAUACCUUUCUCCAGUGCAUGAUAGCAUCUCCGACUGGUAUACACAUUAUGCAGAACAUCCCGCAAAUCCCAAGUCAUUUCUUCCUUUCCUCCAAUAUUGCACCGCUUACCCGAUAUUAACAUAGAACACUCCAAGUCCCGUUCGCAAUCCACUGCAGAACUCGAUCCUUAACCAUACCACAGACCCGAAAUCUUUAAGCACCGCACUUAUUUAUUUUUUUGAAUCCUUUGACUUGUUCCCAAAUAUGAUCAACUCCAAGGCUCUGCUAGCACGUGAACGCCCUCUCAAAGAAGCACCCGGCUGAAUCACCUUCCUUGUACACCACAUCUACACGAAGCAUAAAUCCUCAAAUCAUUUUACACAACUCCAAAUGAUAAAUGGUUUACCUUUAUGUAAACUAGACACCAAGGGCUACAACUUUCAUUUUUGGAUCAUCUCUAGAUUCAUUAUAAAUUGAGAGAUAUAAGCUUGCGAAGUCAGACGACGGACCACAGAAAUUCCUUCUUCGCGAACGCGAAGAACAAAGUCCUAGCAGCAAAAUCCUUCUUUGUGAACGUGAGAGGCUCCUCGUAAACACGAAGAAAAACACCAGAACCAACAACCAACAGCAUCAAAACACCCAAACUCGAUUCGGAACCACCCCGAAUCACACCCGAGGCGCCCGGGACCCCGUCCAAUCGUACCAACCAGUCCCAAUAUAUAACACGAACCUGUUUGAGGCCUCAAAUCACAUCAAAUACCAUCGAAACUACGAAUCACCCUCAAAUUCAAACUUAAGGAACUUUGAAAUUCCAAAUUUCUAUAAUCGAUGCCGAACCUAUCAAAUCACGUCCGAUUGACCUCAAAUUUUGUACACAAGUCAUAAUUGAUAUUACGGACCUACUCCAACUUCCAGAAUCAGAAUCCAACGCCGAUAUCAAAGAGUCCUCUCCCAGUCAAAUUUCUUAAAAUUAUCCAAAUUUCCAACUUUUGCCCAAAUGACCCCAAAAUGACCUACAGACCUCUAAAUCCACUUCCGAACGCACUCCCAAUACCAAAAUCACCAUACAGAGCUAUUCCCAGACUCAGAAUCCUAAACGGAUAUCGAUAACAUUGAAAUACACUUCAACCCAAAUUUAUGAAAUUCUUCCAAAAUGCCAACUUCCAUAAUAGGCGCCGGAAUGCUCCCGGGUCAUCCAAAUCCCGCUCCAGGCAUACGCCCAAGUCCAAAAUCAUCAUACAAACGUGUUGGAACCUUCAAAUCCCGAUUCCGAGGUCGUUUACUCAAAAAUGAUACUUUAGACAAUUCUUCCAACUUAAGGCUUCCAAAAUUAUAAUUAUCUUUCCAAAUCGACUCUGAACUUCCCGAAAUUAAAUUCUGACCACGCGUACAAGUCGUAAUACCCGAAGUGAAGCUAGUCAUAGCAUCAAACCACUGAAUGACGUGCUAGAGCACAAAAUGACCGGUCGGGUCGUUAUAGAGGCAGUGAUAUUUUAUUUUUCACGAUCGCAUGAAUAGGGCCGCGAUCGCGUAGGUGUGGGAGUUUGGUAUUCGCGAACGGGUGAAGAAGCUCGUGUUCGCGUAGAGUAAGUGGAGCAGAAGGGGAGGCCACGCGUUUGUGCUUCGCGAUCGCGUGAAAUGGUUUGCAAUCGCGUAAGCCUGUAAGUUUGAACUUCACGAUCGCGUGGACAACUCCGCGAUCGUGUAUGGUUAUUUUUGGGCUAUAAAUAUUUAUCACUGGGCAGAGAGUUUACCGUAUGUGAAAUCCCAUUUUUUAUUUUUACCGAUUUGGAGCUCGGAUUGAGGCGAUAUUUGAGAGAUUUUUAGAAAAAACAACGGGGUAAGUGUUCUUAACUCAAUAUUGGUUAAAUUAUCCGAAUCCAUCACUGUUUUUAUCAUGUAAUUGGUGAAUUAAGUUGAAAAAGGUUGAAACCCCUCUUGGAUAGAUUUGAGGAUUUGAGGGCCGAAUUGUUAUCGGAAUUUAGUAAUUUUGGUGUGGAUAGACUCGUGGUUGACUGGGCGUUCAUAUUUCAUAACUUUCGGCAAAUUUCAAGAUGUGGGCCCCACGAAUGAAAUUUUGAGUUAAUUUCGGAUUUUUAUUGAAAAAUGUAGUAUUUUCUUAUGAAGUUGAUUCCAAUAAAUUUUGGUGACUGUAUCGAAUUAUUUUGGCUAGAUUCGAGCCAUUCAUAGUUGAAUAAUCGAGGAAAAGGCCUACUAGUGGAUUAAAUUGGAGCAAGUUGAGGUAAGUCUCUUGUUGAACCUUAUAAGGGGAAAUUUACCCCAUAACUGAUUUAAAUUAAUAAUUGUUGCUAAUUACCGGGGCUACGUACGCACGGGGUGAUGAGAGUCCGUGCGUAUCUACUAUUUAUGCUAAAGUUCGGGUAAUUUAGGAGUUAAAUCAUGAAUUACAUGUGAUAAUAGUAUCCUUUAUUUAAUUAAUUAUUGGAACCAUAUUGUGAGUUGUUAGAGAAAAUAGUAAAAGAUUAAAAUCUCAUAUACUUGAAUUUCUGUAUAAAUUAUUAAUUGUUAAAAGGAAUUGUGAAUCCUCUCGUAUUAAACUUUUAAUAAAUAUACUCUCAUUCCGGAGGUACCUAAGAAAAUGUCCUCCUUUCUUUUGGAGCGGGCCGAAUGCCUCGGCAGUAUAGAUGCAUCUAUGGAUCGCGCCGCACGUCCCUCGGUAGUGUAUACGACACUCUGGAUCGGACCGUACGACCUCGACAGACAUCGUACCUAAUAAUAAUAAUUACACGAUACUUUGCUAAUUAUUACAGCUUGUGAAGUUAAUUAAUAAAUUGGAAAUUGUUGCGUUUGAGGAAAUUUAAUUAUUUAUGCUGGUUAGAUAAAAUUAGUGUUAAUCCUAUAAAUCAUGUUGAUUUAAAUAAUUCUAUUUUUACUUUAUUUAUUAUUAUUGACCCCUAGUGAGUGUCAAAGUCGACCUCUCGUCACUACCUCUUCAAGAUUAGUCUUGAUACUUACUGGGUACACGUUGUUUACGUACUCAUGCUACACUUGCUGCACUUUUUGUUCAGGACCCGAGGCAGGUGCUAUAGUAGGACCUACCAGAGCGCAUCUACGUUAUCUAGAGGCUUAGUGGUGAGCUGCCUUUCUGAGCCGUUCUGUAGCAAUCAGUGCCUCUUCUUGAAAUUUUAUUCUGUCUAUUUUAUUUCAGACAGUAUUUGGAAUUUUUGUAUAAUCUACUAGAUGCUCAUAUUGUCUAAAUUCCUGCAAGUAAGAAGAGUUUAAUUACUCGG
rnacentral:lncRNA from 1 species